AGCGAACGCUGGCGGCAGGCCUAACACAUGCAAGUCGAACGAACCUUUCGGGGUUAGUGGCGGACGGGUGAGUAACACGUGGGAACGUGCCUUUAUGUUCGGAAUAACUCAGGGAAACUUGUGCUAAUACCGAAUGUGCCCUUCGGGGGAAAGAUUAAUCGCCUUUAGAGCGGCCCGCGUCUGAUUAGCUAGUUGGUUGAGGUAAUGGCUCACCAAGGCGACGAUCACUAGCUGGUCUGAGAGGAUGAUCAGCCACAUUGGGACUGAGACACGGCCCAAACUCCUACGGGAGGCAGCAGUGGGGAAUCUUGCGCAAUGGGCGAAAGCCUGACGCAGCCAUGCCGCGUGAAUGAUGAAGGUCUUAGGAUUGUAAAAUUCUUUCACCGGGGACGAUAAUGACGGUACCCGGAGAAGAAGCCCCGGCUAACUUCGUG
rnacentral:rRNA from 1 species